UGGGGGAAUAUUGCACAAUGGGCGCAAGCCUGAUGCAGCCAUGCCGCGUGUGUGAAGAAGGCCUUCGGGUUGUAAAGCACUUUCAGCGAGGAGGAAGGUGGUGAACUUAAUACGUUCAUCAAUUGACGUUACUCGCAGAAGAAGCACCGGCUAACUCAGUGCCAGCAGCCGCGGUAAUACGGAGGGUGCAAGCGUUAAUCGGAAUUACUGGGCGUAAAGCGCACGCAGGCGGUUUGUUAAGUCAGAUGUGAAAUCCCCGGGCUCAACCUGGGAACUGCAUUUGAAACUGGCAAGCUAGAGUCUCGUAGAGGGGGGUAGAAUUCCAGGUGUAGCGGUGAAAUGCGUAGAGAUCUGGAGGAAUACCGGUGGCGAAGGCGGCCCCCUGGACGAAGACUGACGCUCAGGUGCGAAAGCGUGGGGGAGCAAACAGGAUUAGAUACCCUGGUAGUCCAGCGCUGUAAACGAUGUCGAUUUUGGAGGUUGUGCCCCUUGAGGCGUGGCUUCCGGAGCUAACGCGUUAAAUCGACCGCC
rnacentral:rRNA from 1 species